GCACAAACGUAUGGGAGCGAGGGGUGGAGGACGAGAUUCGAAGCCUGUACGCCAGUCGGUGCAAAGCCUUUAAAUUCUGAACACCUGUAUUCAUUUCGCUUCGUUUUUCGCAAUACAUCACGCUGACUGCAAGUUUACGUCUCUUGGUAACCGCGAAGAAGAAAUUGUCUCUAGUAAGAAAAACACGCACAAUGGCUGUAUUAAUGAAGAAAAUUUUGAUUUCUGUUUUCAUCGUUGCCGUCAUUCUCGUAUUCAUUAGAACAACAGACGCAGGGUGUAUUGCUAACGGUGAUAGGUGUCAACCUAAUCGACCUCAAGGUGUUUGCUGCAGUGGCCAUUGCUACAAGCGGCUAGGCUGGGCCGUUGGCCGCUGUGUCAAGGGUUAAAUGUUUUUAUUUGCCUUCGCUGAUAUAAUUUUCAUUAUUGUAAAA